GACGAACGCUGGCGGCGUGCCUAAUACAUGCAAGUAGAACGCUGAAGGAGGAGCUUGCUUCUCUGGAUGAGUUGCGAACGGGUGAGUAACGCGUAGGUAACCUGCCUGGUAGCGGGGGAUAACUAUUGGAAACGAUAGCUAAUACCGCAUAAGAGUAGAUGUCGCAUGACAUUUGCUUGAAAGGUGCAAUUGCAUCACUA
rnacentral:rRNA from 1 species